AGUGAACGCUGGCGGUAGGCCUAACACAUGCAAGUCGAACGGCAGCACAGUAAGAGCUUGCUCUUACGGGUGGCGAGUGGCGGACGGGUGAGGAAUACAUCGGAAUCUACUUUUUCGUGGGGGAUAACGUAGGGAAACUUACGCUAAUACCGCAUACGACCUACGGGUGAAAGCAGGGGAUCUUCGGACCUUGCGCGAUUGAAUGAGCCGAUGUCGGAUUAGCUAGUUGGCGGGGUAAAGGCCCACCAAGGCGACGAUCCGUAGCUGGUCUGAGAGGAUGAUCAGGCACACUGGAACUGAGACACGGUCCAGAAUCCUACGGGAGGCAGCAGUGGGGAAUAUUGGACAAAGGGCGCAAGCCUGAUCCAGACAUACCGCGUGGGUGAAGAAGGCCUUCGGGUUGUAAAGCCCUUUUGUUGGGAAAGAAAAGCAGCAGGUUAAUAACCCGAUGUUCUGACGGUACCCAAAGAAUAAGCACCGGCUAACUUCGUG
rnacentral:rRNA from 1 species